GUGUCAGCCGCCGCGGUAAGACGAACCGUGCGAACGUUGUUCGGAAUCACUGGGCUUAAAGGGCGCGUAGGCGGGCUGACAAGUCUGGGGUGAAAUGCCGCGGCUCAACCGUGGAACUGCCUCAGAUACUGUCGGCCUCGAGGGAGGUAGGGGCGUGCGGAACUGUAGGUGGAGCGGUGAAAUGCGUUGAUAUCUACAGGAACUCCGGUGGCGAAAGCGGCGCGCUGGACCUCUUCUGACGCUGAGGCGCGAAAGCUAGGGGAGCAAACGGGAUUAGAAACCCCUGUAGUCC
rnacentral:rRNA from 1 species